GGGUGGGGGGGCACACAAUUCAACCCCAAACAAUAUUUAAAAGGGUUGGCAGCUGGGCGGGGGAACCCAGUGUAAGAACUGUGGUGAUUUAUGCCAAGUGUAGGGGCUGAAGUAGGCAGUGGGAAAGGGUCACACCGCAGGUCAGAGCCUCUUAAAGCAUGCACAAAUGCACUGUAAUGAAACCAGCGUGUGGACUCUUACUUCACAAUGGGCAUAACUGCCCACAGUGGGCAGCACAUGGCCCCAGUCAAGUAAAAGACUCCUUACCACCUUCCCUGAAUCUUUCUCCCCAGUCCCUGUAUAUUGGAGUAGAAGAGACACAGGAAGAGGAGGAUGUAUCCCCAGAAUGAAGGAGCAGACCACAGCCCAACUCCCCACUAAGGAACCUAGAGCCAUUGGAAAGAGCUAUACUGGAGGGAAUGGAGGAGAAAGGCAGGGCCAAAUUUACUUGAAGUUUCACUGCAUCAGACUGAACCAGGCUUUGUGAACCUAAGUGGACAUACGGGUCUGAGAUUUGCCCACGAUAUGAUCAAGGGGUGGGGAAAGGGGCUUUAAUGGCCAGUAAGUGAGGGAAAGUAUUAUAUGCUUAUAUUUUUCCUGCUAAGUCAGUUCAGCAUAGGAGAUGUCAGAAUUCAAGUCUAAACUGUGUGACCUGGAGCAAAUCUUACACCACCUCUGAGUUUCAGAUGCCCCAUCUAUAUAUUUUGGCUGAUAAUUUAACACACACACACAACCUCUGCAAGACUACAGAAGAACUCUCUACGUUUUGGGGUUGUGUUCUUUCAAUUAUAGAAUGUGGAAUGUUAAAGCUGGAGGGAAUCUGGAAAACAUUUUAUCUAACACUAUCAUCCUGCUGGGAAGGAAGCUAGGGCUUAAGAAAUAAUCUACAUCUUUAUGUAACUAAAUUUAUGCACAGGGAUUUUCGUAAAAAUGUCAUUAAAAGGAAAUGUCCAACAUUUGGGGAACUUACCAAAAGCCUAACUAUGUGAGAGAAAGUACAACAAAUGUCAUUGCCCUUAAGGCAUUGGUGAAGAUCCACUGCAGCUGAGGGAAGAGAACAAAAAGAAAAACUUCUACACCAAAAGGAAAAGCAGGAAUAGUAUGAGGUCCAGGCUAUAACUAGAGGAGGAGGACAUGGUCACAUCUCUGAGACCCUGGGAUAUAGUUCCUAUUAAAAGACAGGGGCUUAAUCAGAAAAACAGAGAAUACCCCUCUCCCACCACUACCAGGCUAACAAGUGUCCAGUAACAAGUAAUAAUGGAAUACUGCUGGAGAAGAAUAGAAGAAGAAUCCAAGAGUGGAGUUCUCUGAGACAUGGUGCAAAAAGAAGACUGCAAACUGAUGGCAGAGCAGACACUGAGACAAACCCUUUCACAAACUAGCCCAUACCCUAAACAGAAGAUAUCACUAGAGGAAUUUGAAGCCUUGAAGCCUGUAGUCUGCUGAGAGUGAACAUAGCAACAUCAGACUCAGCAUUUCUAAUUGUAACACUCCAGACUUAAUGACAAAUAUCAAACUCUAAAUCCAAGAAGCUCAGAAACCAAAGAAGGGUAAAUACCACACACACACACACACACACACACACACACACACACACACCUAUUCAUUCAUAUAUUCAAUCCACUGAACACAAAGUCAAAGAGAAAAUCUUGAAAACAGCCAAAGGAAAAUCACACAUUAUAUACAGAUUUAAAAAGAUAAGAAUUACGAUAGACUACUUGUCAGAACCAUGACUUCAAAUAGUAAAGACUUAACCAGACAAACUGGGAGAAUUCACUGCCAGCAGACUGUACAAAAAAUGCUGAGGAAGUUCUUCGGCAAGCAAAAGAAAUAUGAUAUGAGACAGAAACUUGGAUAAACACAAAGAAGUGAAGAGCCUUGAAAAUAGAAUAAAUGAAGAUAAAAUGAAAUUGAUUUCUCUUUGUAUAUCAAAAUUAACUAUUUAAAGUUAAAAAUAGGGAUCCCUGGGUGGCGC